CCCUUAGAUGUUCUGGGCUGCACGCGCGCUACACUGAUGCGUUCAACGAGUUUACGGCCUUGCCCGAUAGGGUUGGGUAAUCUUCUUAAAACGCAUCGUGAUGGGGAUAGAUUAUUGCAAUUAUUAAUUUUCAACGAGGAAUUCCUAGUAAGCACAAGUCAUCAGCUUGUGUUGAUUACGUCCCUGCCCUUUGUACACACCGCCCGUCGCUCCUACCGAUUGAAUGUUCCGGUGAGCUCUUCGGACUGCGCGGUCUGCAGUUUCUGCGUUCCGUGCGGAAAGUUGCGCAAACCUUAACAUUUAGAGGAAGGAGAAGUCGUAACA
rnacentral:rRNA from 1 species